ACACUCGAGAUCCGGAAGUGGCGCUCCGGGGAGAAGGUGGCUGCGGCUGCUGGGGCCGCUGCGCCGGCGGCGGUUCCCGAUGUGGAGGUCCGUCUUGGGUGGGGAGGCACCCAGGUCGCUGGUUCGAUGCAGAGGAAGAAACCACACCUAGCACGUAAAGCCCUGAAAAAAUAGAGGUGUACAGUAGAGUUUUCCAGAGGCUACAUGACAUGCAGUAUCACAACGGAAGCAAAUAUAAGAACCCACCUGUCUCCUGUUAAAAUGCAAAAUGUAAAACAAUACCACUUUGCUAACUGUUUUUGUUUGGGGAAAUAUAGUUCAUAAAAAUAUUUAUGUUAACAUGUAAUUUAGGUUAAAAUAAAUUAAUAAAUAUUUGUAAA
ensembl:lncRNA VPS13B-DT VPS13B divergent transcript